UGGGGAAUAUUGCGCAAUGGUCGAAAGACUGACGCAGCGACGCCGCGUGGAGGAUGACGCCCUUCGGGGUGUAAACUCCUGUUGCUCGGGACGGAAACCCCCUUUCCGUAGGGGACGUGACGGUACCGAGUGAGGAAGCACCGGCUAACUCUGUGCCAGCAGCCGCGGUAAUACAGAGGGUGCGAGCGUUGUCCGGAAUCACUGGGCGUAAAGGGCGCGUAGGUGGCUUGGUAAGCGUGCGGUGAAAGACUCGAGGCUCAACCUCGAGUCUGCCGUGCGAACUGCCGAGCUGGAGCACGGUAGAGGCACAUGGAAUUCCGGGUGUAGCGGUGGAAUGCGUAGAGAUCCGGAAGAACACCGGUGGCGAAGGCGGUGUGCUGGGCCGUAGCUGACACUGAGGCGCGACAGCGUGGGGAGGCAAACAGGAUUAGAUACCCUGAUAGUCCACGCCCUAAACGAUGUCGACUGGUUGUUGGGGGUUUGACGACUCUCAGUAACG
rnacentral:rRNA from 1 species